UUUCAACUGCACAAGCUGUACCACAAGGAUUUGAGAAGUUUAUUAUUGGACACAAAUCUGUCAGGAACUCCUCUGCUGUUAACUGACCACAGAACAUGGAGCUCAGUGAUACAAUGUUCCUUGCCUGCUUCUGAGCUGCCACAAGAGAGGGAAGAUUAUUUAAGGCACAAAUAGCCUACCUGACCACUGUUGCCUGUCCACUUGCCAUUCCCUAUGAAAUGCAUUUCUCUCUUCUUGGUUUUUGUUCUUCUUCCUGUUCUUGUUUCCUUUUCCUGUGUUU